rnacentral:rRNA from 1 species
CUACGAAAGGUGCAAGCGUUGUUCGGAUUUACUGGGCGUAAAGAGAGUGUAGGUUGUUUAUUAAGUCGGAUGUGAAAUCCCGUGGCUCAACCUCGGAACUGCAUUCGAUACUGAUAGGCUAGAGUUUGGGAGGGGUAAGCGGAAUUCCGUGUGUAGCAGUGAAAUGCGUAGAUAUACGGAGGAACACCUGAGGCGAAGGCGGCUUACUGGACCAAUACUGACACUGAGACUCGAAAGCGUGCGUAGCAAACAGGAUUAGAAACCCUAGUAGUCC